rnacentral:rRNA from 1 species
AGUAACACGUAAGUAAUCUACCUUCGAGUGGGGGAAUAACGUCCGGAAACGGACGCUAAUACCGCAUAAUGCAGCGGCAUCGCAAGAUGACAGUUGUUAAAGAAUUUAUUCGCUUGAAGAGGAGCUUGCGGCAGAUUAGCUAGUUGGUAGGGUAAUGGCUUACCAAGGCUACGAUCUGUAACCGGUCUAAGAGGACGGUCGGUCACACUGACACUGAAUAACGGGUCAG